rnacentral:rRNA from 1 species
UYCCGGUUGAUCCCGCCGGAGGUUACUGCUAUCGGUGUUCGCCAAAGCCAUGCGAGUCAUAUGUAGCAAUACAUGGCGUACUGCUCAGUAACACGUGGAUAACCUGCCCUUGGGUCCGGCAUAACCCCGGGAAACUGGGGAUAAUUCCGGAUAACGCACAUAUGCUGGAAUGCUUUAUGCGUCAAAUGGAUUCGUCUGCCCAAGGAUGGGUCUGCGGCCUAUCAGGUAGUAGUGGGUGUAAUGUACCUACUAGCCGACAACGGGUACGGGUUGUGAGAGCAAGAGCCCGGAGAUGGAUUCUGAGACAUGAAUCCAGGCCCUACGGGGCGCAGCAGGCGCGAAAACUUUACAAUGCGGGAAACCGUGAUAAGGGGACACCGAGUGUCAGCAUCAUAUGCUGGCUGUCCAGGUGUGUAAAAUACACCUGUUAGCAAGGGCCGGGCAAGACCGGUGCCAGCCGCCGCGGUAACACCGGCGGCCCGAGUGGUGAUCGUGAUUAUUGGGUCUAAAGGGUCCGUAGCCGGUUUGGUCAGUCCUCCGGGAAAUCUGAUAGCUCAACUAUUAGGCUAUCGGGGGAUACUGCCAGGCUUGGAACCGGGAGGGGUAAGAGGUACUACAGGGGUAGGAGUGAAAUCUUGUAAUCCCUGUGGGACCACCUGUGGCGAAGGCGUCUUACCAGAACGGGUUCGACGGUGAGGGACGAAAGCUGGGGGCACGAACCGGAUUAGAUACCCGGGUAGUCCCAGCCGUAAACGAUGCUCGCUAGGUGUCAGGCAUGGCGCGACCGUGUCUGGUGCCGCAGGGAAGCCGUGAAGCGAGCCACCUGGGAAGUACGGCCGCAAGGCUGAAACUUAAAGGAAUUGGCGGGGGAGCAC